UUUUGUGCCUGGAACGAGCUGGAAAUGCCAUGGAACAAAACUAAAUGGAUAAACGGGCUCGGCAAGCACGUCGCUUCUCGGGGGCGGGGGGCGGCUGGACAGUGUGUUUCCCUCUUUGGAGCGAAAGAAAAGAAAAGAAAUCGAGUUGAACUUUGCAUCUGUCAAAUAGAAAUCUAAUAGGAAAGAGAGCUGUACAUGGUCAAAGUCAAGUCCAGGCUCCAGGAACAUCCAGGAGGACAGUUUCGGGUAUCGCCUGGAUGCGCCAAGCAAACACUCGCGCGCGCGGUGCCGCUUCCCGCCGGCAGCCUGGAAUCCCGCGGGCCGCCGAGGAAAACCCGCCGCUGGAGAGCAGGGUGACAAAUCCACUUGCAGACUUUAAUGAGUGGCUUGGAAACCAUGUGUCAAUGACAUGGGCUGCUGGAGAAGAUGAGCAGGAUGGUGGUGGAGCUUUAUUCCCAGGCCAUGGUUGAUGCAAAGCUGCUUGAGCAUCCCAAAUUCUCAAGUCAGGUGGAAGCCAAGGGAGUGAAGCAGCUGAUGGGCUGCCACUCCCUCCGUGGUUCCAACAUGUGUUUCCCUGGAUGUUUUCCAUUGGCAGCCAGCUGAGCUUUUGCUACGACACCAAGCAAAUAAAAAGAUACACAUUUCCUCAACUUUGAA